UUCAAUAUGGGCCUACCGGUGUUUGAAACUAAGGCCCAUAAUAAGCUCUUUUAUUCAAAUUUCAAAAUCUUUAAAAUAUACGCUCUCCUUCGAUAUCCCACUAUCCUACAAGUUACAACGUUCCAUCUCUCGAAUCUUUACAGUCUUCCUUCUUCAAUUGCAAAUACCUAACCACAUCUUCUAUAAAAAACAACCAGUCUCUAUCGAAGCUGCAAUCUUCUACAUAAUAACGAUUAUAUAUAUUGAUGAGAAUCCUUUUUACUUUCCUAUAGCAGUCAUUUUUAUUAAAUAUAAUUCAAUUUAUCGAGUUAAAGGUCAUAGUACGAAAAUGAAUUGAAAAGAAGAGGCAUGCACUUAAUUAAUUGUAGUUGCAUGCAUGGAGGAGCGGGUGUUGAGAGCUUUAAAGGCUUGUUCUCCCAUCCUUCAAAUUUUUAAUUUGCAACCUUUAUAGUAUGUUAUUUCUUCAUAUUUAAUUCACAAACCUACACACAAUCACUACUGAUGUGCAUAGUUUGUGUUAUACAUCCAAAAGUAGGAGUAGGAGUUGAUGUGAGUAUUAAAGUUGCAUCGGCAUUCAUCAAUUUAUCAACCUCCCCUUCUCCAAUUCUCUUUAUUGACUCUCCAUUUAUUGGCCUCUCCCUAUUUCCCAACUCUUCUUCCAUUCACAUACACCAUUUUUACCACCAUACAUGAGAAUUGAGGCAUAUACAUGAUGACAAACACACAUAAGGUAUACACAUAUAUAGAUGAUACAUCCAUCCAUAUGACUUCACCAACGAUCUUAUUUUUUCUUUUUGACGAUCUACUUAAGAACAUGAAGUAGUUAAUGAUGAUAUCAUAAUUAAAAUGAUGCUAAUGGUAGAGGAGAAAGGCAAAGAGAAAAGGAGACAGAAAAAUUAGUUAGCUCUUCACAUCUAAGCAUUUAAAUGAGCUUGGAGUUAUUGAACACACCCAACUUGGAACUCACACUUUACUUACCUCUUUUUUUCUUAUUUCUCCAAAAAUCAAAACUAAAAUGCAAUAGUCGACAAAUCACUUUUAUUGCCUAAUAGUAAAAAUCCUUAUAAAAUUUAUAACUAUACAGUUUAUGUAUUUUAUUUUAGAAUAUCUAACUUAUCAACCAUUAAUAAAUUCUUAUAGUAUAUUGGUAUCUAUAUGAACCGGUGGAGACAAUAACUCUGAAGAUUUUCCUACAUGAAUAUAAAUAGAGACGAUCUUUACAUACUUUUCAAGUCUAUCUGCUCAUUUCCUCACAGGUUCAAAGAGAGAUAGAGAGAGUAUAAAAUUUCCAAAAUCACUCAUUGCAACACAAAGGCUGAGGCUAAUGGUUUCUCGACAAGAAGGAACCCUCUUCUCAAAAAAGAGGGGUUUAACAAUCUAUGGAGAAGAGUUUCACAAUUCAUUCAAGAAGACUAAUAUAGAAGAUCAAUCACAUGGUAAACUUCAGAGCACUAGACCAAACUCAGAGAGUAUGAGAUCAGUUACCUUUGAUUUCGAACUUCAUCUCCACACUCCUCUACAUUCAGAUUGGCAGAAAUCCAUAGAGCCUAAGGUAUAUAAUAAUAUAUACGUAACAAAUUGUAUAGUAUUUUUAUGGAUACGACGAUAUCUAUGUGCACACAAACAUGCAUCUAAAACAUGGAUGCAGGGCCGUCUCAAAUUAUACUAAGGCCCUGUUCAAAAAAAAAAUUAACUAUAUAUUUAACAAUGUAAUAAAAUAAUUUUAAAAGUUAAUAACUUUAUCUAUAUAUAUUUGAUGUUUCUCUUUUAAUUAUAGAUAAUAAAUUUAAGAAUACAGUAAAAAGUUAAAAUUUUAAACCAAAUUCAUAUAUUUAUUUUAGAAAUUUUCUUAAGUAUUUUUUUAUUUUUAAGUUCGGACCCUGUUCGACCGCUCCACUAGCACAUGCUAUUAGACUGCCCUGCAUGGAUGCUCCUUAUAUUUUCAAGGGUAUUCAAGAACAUCUGAGGAUCAUAUGACAUACCACAAAAAUUUGGUGGUCGUCGGACGCAGAGCCGGUCCUAGGGUAUAUAGGGCUGGAAGCAAAACCAAAAAAGUGGCCACUUUUUCAGGAAAAAAAAAAAGAACAAAAAAUGGAGUCAAGCAGGCUUGAACCCGGGUUGCUCUUGUUGAAUCUAUGAACGUGAACUUUUACCACUAUACUAAAAGAACAUUUAACAAAAAUGUGGCCGGAUUUCAUCAAUAAAUAAAGCGGCCGCAAGCCCAUGCUUCCAUGGCUUGGCCCAAGGGCCGGCUCUGGUCGGACGACCUAAGAUGAGCCUAGACCUUGAGCUGAGCCUUUCACCUUCUUAUUCACCUCCAAAAACCAGUACAAAGAUAGAUGAAUCCCUAAAUCACAGAGAGACCGUGUCACCAUCGAAUGGUAACAACUUGACAAGCCCGAGUAAGAAGACCACACUGUCUUGGCUUUCGUUUGACGGUGGUAAUGAUGUUGAUCACAAGGAUCAAGAGAUGGUAACAAAAGUGUGCAUGAAAUGCCACAUGCUGGUCAUGCUGUCCACACCAACUCCUGUUUGUCCCAACUGCAAGUUCAUGCACCCACGUGAUCACAGCUCUACAAGACUGUUCAAACCACCAAAUUUGCUUAGGCUCCUAUGCUAGGCUCUUCAGAGUUUUUGGAUAUUAAUGUGCGUACGGAAUAGUAUGAGCUGUAUAUACACUACAAGUACCAAAACUUUUAUUCCAUAUGCUUCCAUGAAGGAUAUAUCCUUUCUCUUUGUUUAUGCUUAAGAUUUCGUAACCUAAUAGUAUUUGAAUUGAAUUUUAACUGAGAUAACACGUACAUGGAAUGUUAUAAGUCCAAUACAAUCCUAACUACACAUUUAUGGAACUGACUAUAUAUAGUUAUGUUGAAGACAUACUAUUGUUUGACAAGCAAACUUGAGAGUAUAUAAUUCUGUUAAGAACCAAGUUGUUUGAAUAUAAUUAAACAGAAGCAGGCCACGUGAUGCAUCAUGCAUGAUAGGAUGUGUGUCAAUUAAAGAAGAAACAAAAAUAAAAGAUAAUAUGAACCAGAGAAGAUCUACAAAUAAUAUUGUUCACAGGUGGGGAACAAGACGAAGAUGCAACAAAACUUAUAUAAACAGCAUACAAAGGUUAGUAAUCUACUGUGGUUUUUUGAAAAUGCACCUAUGUAGAAAAAGUUACUAGUAAUCUGUUGUGGGUGCACUAAUCAGAUACUGACACCUGCCAACAGGUCGAUGCACCAAUCAAAUACUGACACGUGUUAACACAAGUGGCAAACUGGCAAUGCACCAAUCCGCGCUCCAUUAAAAAUCUAGCGUAGUUUCGAUAUUCAAAAUCGAAACCAAGAGAGGGAGAUGAUGAUGAGAGGCAACGACGAAUCGAUGAGAGAUUGACUUUCUUCGUCUCGCGAUCCGACGAUCACCAUCGAUUCCGCCGUUGAGAAGGAAGGAGAGACACGGAGAGAAGUAGAAGAGUUGAGGAGAAAGCUUGCGAUUGAGAAGAAGAGGAUGAAUCGUGUUAAGCUUUGCAGUUCGAUGGAGCUUCUUCUUCUCGUUGUUCUGGUUCUGUUGCUUUCUACUUUCUUCCUAGUUCUUCUUUCUCCCAUCUUCUUGAAUUGAUCAGCAUCUGUUGCUAUUUCCACUUCGAUCACAUUAUUAUUAUCUCCUUGGAUCGUUUUUUUUUUUUUUUUAGAACAUCUUGUAGAAUGGAUCGUCAUCACACAUAUUCUUUGCUUUAUUCUCAAGUCAACUGCUAAAUAAGUAAAUAUUCAAAGGCUUACAAUUUUUUUUAUUUGAAGGCCUGAACGUAGGCCCAUUAAGGCCUAAUAAAGCGUUGUACUAAUAACAAGAGUUAGGGUUUUCGAAGCAGGAAGCUACUGGCCGUCUCUGUAUAUAUAAAUCAAAUGGUAUUACAUCAUCUUGUACAAUCAGUUGCAAGCGUUUAUGCUCCAUCAUCUGUAGUUCUUUGAAUUAUUAAUUAGGUAUAGUUUUUUUUUUUUUGGUUUGAUGGAAGGAAGAUUGCCUCUUCUUUCAGCAGCAAGUUCUGUUCUUGUUAGCUUUGUUCUGGAGGCAUAUAUCAAUUCGCCAUCACGAGAGGGAUUUUAUAAUUUUGCAGAGUUAUUCCUCUGUAUAAUAUUAUCCUUCUCUUUGGUACAUCUGUCUUCUUCUUCCUCCAAAUAUUUAUAAAAGCUUUGAAAUGAUUCACUUAUU